rnacentral:rRNA from 1 species
UACAGAGGUCUCAAGCGUUGUCCGGAAUCAUUGGGCGUAAAGCGCGCGUAGGCGGCCCGGUAAGUCCGCUGUGAAAGUCAAAGGCUCAACCUUUGAAUGUCAGCGGAUACUGCCGGGCUAGAGUCCGGAAGAGGAGAAUGGAAUUCCCGGUGUAGCGGUGAAAUGCGCAGAUAUCGUGAGGAACACCAGAGGCGAAGGCGGCUACCUGGACAAUUGCUGACGCUCAGGCACGAAAGCGUGGGGAGCAAAAGGG